rnacentral:rRNA from 1 species
GAUCAUGGCUCAGAUUGAACGCUGGCGGCAGGCCUAACACAUGCAAGUCGAACGGUAACAGGAAACAGCUUGCUGUUUCGCUGACGAGUGGCGGACGGGUGAGUAAUGUCUGGGAAACUGCCUGAUGAGGGGGAUAACUACUGGAAACGGUAGCUAAUACCGCAUAACGUCGCAAGACCAAAGAGGGGGACCCUCGGGCCUCUUGCCAUCGGAUGUGCCCAGAUGGGAUUAGCUUGUUGGUGGGGUAACGGCUCACCAAGGCGACGAUCCCUAGCUGGUCUGAGAGGAUGACCAGCCACACUGGAACUGAGACACGGUCCAGACUCCUACGGGAGGCAGCAGUGGGGAAUAUUGCACAAUGGGCGCAAGCCUGAUGCAGCCAUGCCGCGUGUAUGAAGAAGGCCUUCGGGUUGUAAAGUACUUUCAGCGGGGAGGAAGGGAGUAAAGUUAAUACCUUUGCUCAUUGACGUUACCCGCAGAAGAAGCACCGGCUAACUCCGUG